GGUGGUUCAGUGGUAGAGUGCUUGCCUUGCAUGCAUGAGACCCUGGGUUCAAUUCCUCAGCACCA
rnacentral:tRNA from 1 species